AGUGAACGCUGGCGGUAGGCCUAACACAUGCAAGUCGAACGGCAGCACAGUAAGAGCUUGCUCUUACGGGUGGCGAGUGGCGGACGGGUGAGGAAUACAUCGGAAUCUACUUUUUCGUGGGGGAUAACGUAGGAAACUUACGCUAAUACCGCAUACGACCUACGGGUGAAAGCAGGGGAUCUUCGGACCUUGCGCGAUUGAAUGAGCCGAUGUCGGAUUAGCUAGUUGGCGGGGUAAAGGCCCACCAAGGCGACGAUCCGUAGCUGGUCUGAGAGGAUGAUCAGCAACACUGGAACUGAGACACGGUCCAGACUCCUACGGGAGGCAGCAGUGGGGAAUAUUGGACAAUGGGCGCAAGCCUGAUCCAGCCAUACCGCGUGGGUGAAGAAGGCCUUCGGGUUGUAAAGCCCUUUUGUUGGGAAAGAAAAGCAGCAGGUUAAUACCCCGCUGUUCUGACGGUACCCAAAGAAUAAGCACCGGCUAACUUCGUG
rnacentral:rRNA from 1 species